rnacentral:sRNA from 1 species
GAUGCCAGGGUCAAAAGGUCUAAAUCCACAUGAACUUGUUUAUAAGUGGAUUUAGACCUUGGCUCCCCGAUAUGAGCCUAAAAGUGGGAUGAUAAUCCCAUGAUAUGCGAAUAUUGGGGCGGAUUGUGGGAGUGCAAAGCACAGAACAAUCCGCAGGCAUC